rnacentral:rRNA from 1 species
AGCAGUCGCCACGGGAAUACGUAGGGUGCAAGCGUUAAUCGGAAUUACUGGGCGUAAAGCGUGCGCAGGCGGUUAUAUAAGACAGAUGUGAAAUCCCCGGGCUCAACCUGGGAACUGCAUUUGUGACUGUAUAGCUAGAGUACGGCAGAGGGGGAUGGAAUUCCGCGUGUAGCAGUGAAAUGCGUAGAUAUGCGGAGGAACACCGAUGGCGAAGGCAAUCCCCUGGGCCUGUACUGACGCUCAUGCACGAAAGCGUGGGGAGCAAACAGGAUUAGAUACCCCGGUAGUCCCUGUCUCUUAUAA